UGUUUUGCAUUUUAGUUUUGUUUGUUAUGGUUUUCUUUCCAGGGUAGUUUUUUUUUAUAUUUGUACUACAAUUUAUGAUUUGGUUGCAGUUAUUCUGUUAUUCGUUUGUUAACAUUAAGAUUAAGAAAUUGUAUACAUUUGAAGUUAUAUUUGUGUGCUGAUUUUUGCACCAAUUUUGUAAAAGAAGAUGAAUAAAAACCGCACUUCCUAAGAGAAAAAUCCUUUUAUUUAUUAAUUUUACGUUCCCAGUCCCAAUUUAUUUAUUUGAAUGUGUCGGUUUUCAGCGUUUUUUGACGCAUAACAGCAGCAGCGCAAUCAAGAAAUUCCAUGAUGCAGUAAUUUUGCAUGACAGAUUAAUAAGCCUUCUCUCUCCAAUGCGCCAACAAAAGAAUUGACAUUAAAUUGUAAUAAAUAGGCAAACAAGAAUACUACGACCCACUUCAUGUGGCAUGGCAAAACUCCAACAGAAAGCAACAGAAGCAAGGGAAACAAAUUGCCAUGGCAAACAGCAGGAGCAGUAGCAUGUAGCAUCCUGAAAUGCUGAAAUGUGUAAGAGGGCAAAAAGACUGAGCAACGUCUGCAGUUGAAACGAAUUUAAUUUUCUACUUUUUAUUUUUAUUUAUUUUACUUUUUUCGCGUCUGCCAGACACAAACAGAAUAACAAGCCGCAAGCCUGAGGCUGACAUUUCUCCUUAAGCAACCUACCACCUACCACCUAUCUUACCUUGCGAUUUUCUUUCGCUUUUCCACCGCUCACCCCAGGUCGGAAAAUAGUGGAAACUUUUGAUAAUUACAUUUGGCGGCUGUUGCUUUGGCAGCUAAGCCAAAAAAAAAGUGCAAGCAGCGGUCUCCUUGGAAAAACCCGCAACCCAGGGGAUAAGAAGUUUAAGCAAUAUGGUUGUAAGAAGUUGUUACGUUGACGAAAUAAAAUAAAAAAUAUUUCAAAUAUUUUAAUGCCUGCAUAAAACAUAAUGUUCAAAGUGGUAUAUUUCUUUGUUGUGUGUAAGCAUUGUGUAUCCUUCAAUACUUGACUAGCCUUUAUUUACGUAAAGUAUCUGCUUUUUAGGCUUAAAACUCCGGCAAACCUUGGUGCUCAGAGGAAUUCCUCCUGAAAGGCUAAUCCACAAGUCAUAUAGAAACAUCGUGUAGAUGUUUUCGCCUUCUUCGACUUCCUUGCAGCCGCACAUCUUUACAAUCGAGAACAGAGAGCUGUCAAUUUUUCGUAAAGAAAUUUUAGCCCCUGCCCUGUGAAAAUGCCUGCUUGAAAUUUAUUUCAUUUUAUGCUCGCGCUUUUCCUCUUUGUGCAUAAAACAUGGGAAAUGGAAAAGCGAGGGUAAAGGGAAAAGGGCAUAGACAGAUGGCAGGGAGCCACCUUCGGGCAAUUUCUUAAACUAAUUUGGCAUGAGGCGGCUGUGGUGGCGGUAUUCUCUCUUCAUCUUCGUCGUCAUCUUCAUCUUCAUCUUCAGCUCUAGGGCCACCAGGGCACCAAAAACUUCGGCGUCGUCGUCCUCUCGGCGGUUUUGUGUGCCUUUUACGUGCAACCAAAAGUAUGCAAAGUGAAAGCGUUUACUGGAGGCUUUGGUGGCGGAUGGGCUGAGGGGCGGAACUUUUGAUGUUUUUUUCCGGUCCUAGGGCUUCUGGGGCCGCAAAGUAUGCGGCAAUUAUUUUAUGGUCGAGCAUCAAUCGGUUUGGGGGCAUUUCAGUAAUAUCCGGCUUAAAAAUUUCAAUAUAGUUUCAUCGCAAUCGAUGGGCUGGGGCGAAUAAUAGAUGCCCAGAGUGGGAGACAUGAGCAUAGUUAAUUGCUUUUUGCCAUGACAAAACAGGGAGUUUUCAGAGUCUUUAGAUGUAUAUAUAUAUUUGUGCUGGCUGUGUGCAAGGCCUGAGGAAUUUAAAUAGUUCUCUGAACCUGACAGCUGAAUGGAAGAGGAGAAGCUUUUCGGGGUGGCUGACAAACUCAAGAGAUAAGGACAAGAGUCCUAGACUAAAUCGCAGGACAAUUAAACUUUUAAGCAGGCAAGCGACAAACGACAAAACGACAUGAUGAAAUGCAUGUAAAUGGAAAAUAAAUAUCAAAAGCAGUCAGAGAUGGCGAGAUACACAAGCAGGACUAUCACAUGCCACAAACGGAGACAGGACAACAGGACAACAGGCAACGGGAUUCACCCGGAUCCAGAUACAAUGGUUUCCAGCAACAAAAUAUAGCUAGAGAGGGAUGGAAAAAAAGGAGUAGAGCCAAGCCGCUUUUAUUAUUGUGAGCUACAGGCUACUGGCUACAGACUACAGACUACAGAAGACAGGCUACACAACAGCCGCAACAGUUCACAUGGCUCAUUUUCUUUGGUCAAAGGAAGCAGGAUAUACUCCCCCGCAAGGAGCAGGACAGCAGUUUUUUACACAAUACAAUAUUAUUCAUAUUGUAUGGUGUAUGUUUAUGAAAUAUGGCAAAUGUCAUUUAGCAUGACAGCUUGAUGAUAAUAAUACGAGCAAGAAACAGCAACAAUAGCUCGCAGGACAAUGCGAAGCGCAGUUGGAUAAAGUCUACGUCCAAAGACAGAAUCUUCACCAGCCAGUUGGAGACUAAAGAAAAGGUGAAAGCCGUUCCAAAGCCCACCCCCUCAAAAAAAAAAAAAAAAAAAAACAACACAAAGCUAGGCAAAUGGCCAAAUGGCAGGGGGAAAGUCCUUACAGAAAGUAUCUUCUUGGCCAAAAGAGUUGCCCAUGACAGGUAAUCAAUUUGAGAUUUAUCAAAAGGCUGGUGAGCAAAUGGAUAUUUGAUAGAAUGUAACAUGACAUGCAAUACUUUUGUCAAUUUUAUAUUAGGUUUUAUUAUUCAUUUCCAUUUGUUUCAGCCUAAAAAGAUUAACAAUUUUUGGUCCUGUUGAAUGAAAUGGAAAUUUUUGCUUUAAUGUUACUAAAAUGUUUAUACUCGCUUUUAAUUAGGUCUACAGCAUUUGAAGUUCAUUUAGUUUGAAAUGUUUAUAUGUUCAAAAUUUGAUGGUUUUCAGCCUAUGGAAGCUCAAAUUAAGAUUGGAAUAUCAAUCUGACACAUUUAAAGCAAUCAAAACGAGUUUAUUAGCCAUUGGGUGAACUUGAGCUCUCCCUCUUUUUUUUAAGAGGCGUAAAACAAACUACCUUUAUCAGAAACAGGACGUUUUUCAAGCUGCUCGGACUUUUGCCCCGGUUGCAACUGCUGCCAAAAACCACAAAAGCGCAUUUUGUGUAAACCGAUUCGACCGCAAAGCAAUUGCAAAUGCGUACGCACAUGGGUGCCGAAAGGGGGGCGGUUUUCCCAGGUCUGUUUGGGUGGUGAAGGCAGUGGUGGGCGGUGGGUGGUGGAACAGUUGGCAGCACACACACACAGUUAAGCGCCUGACUGAGCACAAGCGUCGGCGGCAGGUGUGGUGCACUGUUGCUGUUGCUGCUGUUGCUGUUGUUGCUGUUUCGCUUCCUGCUGCCAUUUCUCGUUCUGCUGCAAGUCGCCAUUUUGGGCAAAGCGGCAGCCGGAAAUGCGGUUACAUAAUCUCCAUAUCCGGCGGGGCAGAGCGGUGUGGCAUGUCAGAAACUGUAGCAUACUUUUUGGCACAUUAUUAAUUUUUAGUUUUUGCUGGCCAGGAUUUGCGUUGGUCCUGCGCGCUCUUCUGCAGGAAAAUAAAUUCAUUUUCGGUUUCUGCAUCUGCCCGCUGUCCGUUGCAUAUUUGAUGAAUAUUUAAAAUAUCAGCAGUAAAAUGAAUCGGUUACGCUGAAUACCUUCCACAGAAAUACAAAUAAGUGAAUUGUAUAAACAUUUUUUAGCGUCGAAAAUAUAUUUUUUCAAUAGCUACACAUAUCAUAGUUUACUGUCAUCUUUCAGGCACGUAACUAUUGGGUUUGAAAUUAUUAAAUGAAUUAUUUUAAAAGGAAAUAAGGCUUAAAUUCGUAGUAUCCUGUCGCUGGGCUUAAAAUAUUGCAAUAAACAAUUGGACUUUUAAAACCGUGUUUGGAGAAACUAAAUAUUUCACUUUAUCUCGCAUCUUGCUUCCUUUGUGAACAUCCGUUUGCAGAACCGCAAUGAAAAUUCCCGGAAGUUGUGCAUAAAAUGGGCUAUGCAUACGGAAAUCAUCAACUCAAUGGCUGAACAAACAAAACGAACGAAAGAGAGGGGAGUAGGCAGAGCUAUAGAGACAGAGCAUGGACUUUUUGGGUGGAGUAAGCGGUGGAGGGUAACAAUGGCAAAUGCGAAUGACGCCAAACGAAUGACCAAAAACAAUGCAAAACUGCUGCCAACGUCCGGCACAAAAGGACUAUGCCAGCGGGAAAGAGACAGAUAGAAUGGCAAUGAGAGAGACAGGAAUAGGGAGUCCACCGCAGACUGUGCUGAUGAUGAUGAUGGUGAUGGCGAUGGUGAUGGUGGGGUGAUGGUCACCCCCGGCGACCUUCAGCGAUGGCCUGUGUUAUGAAUAGUCUGCAAGUGGCCGGAUUGAAAAAGAGAAACAGAUAGAGAGGGGACUACGUGCAGCGAAAGAGACGGGAGAAGUUGGUCUGCUCAGUUGACCAGAAACCAGAAGUUCAGUAGCUCCAUUUCGCUCGCACUCCUACUCUCACUCCCGCCGCCGCCGCCUCUGUCAGGGUCGAUUUCACAUUUAUUUAUUGUUUCAACUGCCCAGCCCAUGGAAAAUCGUUGGCUGCGGCCUUUUUCCCCGCACACCGCCACACUUUGUGCGGUUGAAAACUCGCAUGACUCAUUUGAUUUCAAUGGCCCAACUUGUUCAUUUGGCAGCGAAAGUAUUUAACAUUUCCCCUGGAACAAUGGCCAGCAAAUUGAAUGGAAUGGUGCGAAUGUGUUUGGGAAAUCUCAAUUGAAUUAAGUGUUUGGCUGGGGCAGCCAAACGAACGUGAUAUAUGGAGGAUCUUUAAAGAGCGACUAUAAUCAAACUAAGUGAGUGCGCGUUGAAGGUUUUCUUCCCUAAAAUGUAUAGUUAAAUGUGGAGUUUCUAUGUUUUGAAUUAUUGGAAUUAUAAAAUGAGCUAUUUAGUGAAAUACAUAGAGUGUAUGUAUUCCCAAUUUUCCACUGUUCUGCACCCAGUUGGUCAUAGGUCCCAAAUCCGAUCUAAUCAUAAUAGCAGUCGGACCAAAGGGGUCGGCGAAUAAACCGCAGAAUGAAAUGGAGCCAGAAUGAUAUGGAUACUGAUGUCCUGCCACCGACGCUGCUGAAGAGCUUUGCAGCUGUAAGCGCUUUACCAGUGGCGGCGAAGGCGGCGGUGGGGAAAAAUAUAACAGAAGGGGUAAACUGGUAUACUGGUACUGGUAGUGGUUCACAUCCCUGGCUGAUUCCGUAAUGCGCUUCUGCCGGACGGAAGCUGACGGGCAGCCAAGGGAUCCUAGUGCACAGAUUUGGUGUACAUUUUGUAAUAGUUGCUAAGGAUUAAGCCCCAAAACCAGUGCAUUGUCCUUCGGGCGAAAGAGAUGGGGCGCCACCGAAUCGAAAGAGACGGGGAGAUACGCAUAAAUGUUUAAUAACUCAAGUAGAAAAUUACACAUUUUUCGGUCGUGUUCCAUUUGUUGUGCUGAAGAAUUUUUUUUGACCGCGAGGAAACGACGAACCGCAAAAACAUAUUUUACAUAAUUUCGUAAAGUUCAACUUGAUAAACAAUUUCAUUGAAAGCAAGCAAAAGAUGCUUAACAGCAACGCCAGCCAGCCGAACAACAACAAUGAAGUCUAAUAAAAGGAAUUUCGCUUUCAUGUUCAACGGCCAUAAGGGUGAAGGGGUACUAAGAAUGGGAUGCGAGACAUUGCUCGCUUUUCCUUAUUUUCCCUAUUUUCCCUGCUACCUUUUGGGGGGCGGUGUGGAAACUUUGGCCUGCCACUUUAUAAGCUUUUCCUCAACAUGCACACACGUGCACACAGAGCAACAUGCAAUGUAAACAUGACACAACAAAGGUGCGUCGUUCGUACUUUUAUAACCCGCAGCAACUGAAACCAAGCAGCAGAAUUACACGGAAAUACUCUACGAAAUUGGAAUAUGGUUAUCUUUAUCAAAACCAUCUGCAAACCAACCUUUCACAUUUGGGCAUUUUGGUGAUAAAUAGUCUACAUCAACAUAUUUCUUUAGGGCUUCUUAUUUUCCCUGAGCUCCAAUAUUGCCAGUCAGUCCUUGAUUUUAGAGUGUAAAAUUCGUCGUACACGAGUUUAUUUUCUUUUCAGCUUCUAAUGCUUAAAGGCGUUUAGCAGUUGCUAUUUUGUUGUUCCUGCUUUGCUGCCUGCUGCUCUCCCUUUUUGUUGUUGUUGACAAGUGCAGGCAACACAUUUUUGUUUAAAUUUCAAUCAAAAACAAUUUGAAAAGCUCGCCGUGAGGCUCUUGCCGAGCGAAGGAAAUCCAGCAGUGGCUGGGAAAAUUGGGUGUGAGCGUCUGAAGUUAGACAGGUAUGCAAUGUGUAGUGCAGUGCUUCAAAUUAUUCACAUAUGGCUGAAGUUCGUACUUGCUGCUUUUGUUUUACUUCUUGGCAAAUGGCGCCUCGACUGCUGCAACAAGUUAGACAAACACAAGCACACAGCGAGUGUUUUCUACACACACACAUACACACGUACACACACGCACGCAAACGAACAAAUACAAACGCACUGGAAAAUGCACAAAAUUGCCGUUGGUAAAUCAACAGAGCCGCAGACGCAAGCCCCAAAAACCUUAUGAUUUUCCUGCCCCUUGCAUGCUAUGCAUUUCACUUUCCGGCUCAUGGAAUCGUUAUGUUAAACUAUAAUUUUCCAUGGGUUUUAGGGGGGUGGAGUGGAAUAUGCAAAAGACCGAAUGGGGUUUGGGGUUUUUCUCGGCGUGUGCAACAUGCUAAAGUUUUUUACAUAAUUAGAAAUAUGAAGCAGCCAGGGAGUCAGGGGUGUGCUUGGUGCAGCAUGAAUGUGGAGCCUUUAAUAAUGAUUUGUUUUAAGGUUCAUUUGCCCUGCCAGCCGCACAUAGAAAGAGAGGCCCACACGAGCAUAGAAAGAGUGAGCAGUAUGUAGAGCCUUAGAGGAUUUCUCCCCACUUUUUCUUUUUCCUGCUGAAGUGCAGUGUAAAUGUCUUGACUUUUUGUGUUUGUUGAGCCCUUAAGCACUUUUUGUGAGAGGCACGUAGGCAAAAAUUGUAACAAAAGAUGAAAAUAUAGUGGGAGUUGUUGCAAAACUGAAGGGGAAAAUAACUGGAAAAUAUGUGGAAAAGUGGCAAAAAGUGGGAAAAAGGAAGUCAAGUUCGUGCCUGGGCAUUAAUGAAAAGGCUGCUCACUCAUCGACUUCCUUCCUCUGGAGCUCAGCUAUUAUGCAAAAUAAUAUUUUUGACCCUAAAUGUUUCAUGUUGCUCGCACAUAACGAGGUAAAUUUGGACAUUCGGUUUGCUGUUAGCCUUUGUAUAUUUUUAAUUAAUUAACCUUGUGUUGGUCAAACCAAUUUACCAAAAUGUUAUAAAAUUCUUAAAUUAUAAUCGUCGUGGGCUAAAAGGAUAAUCUAAUAAAUAAUUGUAUAUAAAAUGAGAAUAAUAAAUUGUCUUAACAAACUUUCUAGUCAUCGAUUAGCUAUAUAAAAUAUUCUCUGUAGGAAACCUCAUUUCCAAACACAUAAUUACAGAAGCACCGAGAAAAUAAAUUAGCAAUUAAAUCCAGGCAGUUAAAAGCCUACCCGCAGGCAAAUGAAAACCCACCCACUUGGGUUUUCCCCACUUUUCCUCACAACUUUUGCCUUCCUUUGCCCCUCGGAGGCAUUCAAAAAGUUAUACUAAUUGCGUAAUAAUCUUAUUACAUUUAAAAAUACAUUUACAAAAGCAUUUAUACCUGCCCCCAAGGCCAAUGACAACAGACAGGACGCGGGGAGGGGGACAGGAAGUAACUGAUGGGGGUGGGGGUUGGAGAAAGUGGGGCGGGUGAAGGGCUUUCCUUCCAGAGAAAGCCAGAGAAAGGACAGACAGCAUUCAGUCAGCGCGAAGCUGCAGACGAGCAAGAACAAUGAUCCACCGGAAGCAUUGAUAAAUGAAUGAGCCCACAACAGUCAACCAACCACUUUUCCUCAUUUUCCUUCGCGCCCUUGAGCGGAAACUCCAAUCAACUUGAACAUCUUACAGCUAGCUAAAGUGAGGAAAUAAAUCUAAACAUUCCACCACGAGGCAAACUGUCAGAAUUAUGCCAAAGCUUAUGAAUAUGAAAAAGCCUGAGCGAAGAGGGACCGACCGACCAUGACAAAAGUUUUCCUCCAGACGUCUUGGAAUUUCCAGUGGUAAGAAACAGUAAGAAACCCCAAACAUACCGAGCCCCAAAACCCAUUACAAGACCUCUGGUAUAAUGAGUAAAAUGUCACAAGUUGACGCAAGUAAAUAUUUAAAUGUCAGAUUUCCAUGUGGAACGAGAAACAAACCCACGAAAAAUAUGUCUCAUAAUUCGGAUGUAGAAGUUGAAAGUUGGAAGCUGCUGACAUUACCCCGAAACUUUUUUGCUCCAUGAUAUACCCCAACUUUAAAACGCAAAACGCUCGGCUUUGCGCUGGCCAAGGAGAAAUGCGGGCCAGAAAACUUGAAAGAACAUUUCCAAACUGACUUUGCAUCCGGGGAUGGUCUGCAGACAGAUAGACAGGGAAACUCGCUUUCGCAUGUAUGUAUGCAAAAUAUGCUCGACCGCCGUUUGACAUUUACAAAUGACAAACAUUUGACAAACAAAAUGCUUUUUCUUUGUUUGCACUCGUCUUGUGUGUGAGGAAAGCGUUUAAUGUGGGCUCGCCCCAACAAAAAGAGGACUACAUGGCAUAUAUUUGCCAAGGACCCGCAGCAAUUUCUUCACUCACCUUUUGCACUGCCAUUUGGUUUAUUGCGCCCCCGGAAAAACGGAAAAGCGGAAAAGCGGAAAAGCGGCGGUGGUAACAACAAAGAGCCAAAUAAUUAAAUGAAAUGCGAGACAGAUAGAUGUGGACUGAGCGAGAGAGGGAAGUUUAUUCUCAGGGGUUGUGUGCCAAUGUAAAUAGAACUUUUCAUGGCAAUUAAAAUAAAUAUGUUGGUCGAGGGAAUAUCCAAAAUUUUAAUGAAUAAUUUUAAGGACGAAUAUUAUAUUUAACUGCGUGAUACAAAUUCCCUUGAAAAACUUUCAGCAACUAUAAACUUUGUACUCCAUGGAACUUAAACCAGAGGAAAACUCUGGCCGCACCUGAACAUUUCUUUUUGCAGUUUGCAGGAGAAAAGCUUGACCACAAGAAUUGGUAGCAGAGCUAUAGAACUCUUGGCUUAGAAUUCUUGGCUUAGUUUAUGAACGGCAGUUAUGUUUAAUUUACUUCAGGCUCGGAAGACUUUCCCCCAAAGCCAUUUCCACCUGCAGUCGUUGGAGAUGGAAGGAAGUGGAGCGUUUGGCGGCGGCCUCGGGUGGCAAUAUUCCUGUUAAUAACUAUGUCCAACAUUCGCAUCAACCGCCCACCCAACCGUUCAGUCCAUUGCGACUAACAAGCUGCAUGUCAUUACUUCUAAUAAACCCCAGGGAGUGUCCUGCACACAAGGGUCCUGUGUGUGGCCAUUGUCAAGCUGCCCCGAAACGCACCCAGCUAAAACGGAAACAACGCACUGAAUAUUCACCACACUGAAGGAAAAGUGUGACAAAAACUAUCAAUAUUUUGUAGUUUCAAAUAUUACUCUUACAAACAAGAAACUGGAACUUUAA